UACAGAGGUCUCAAGCGUUGUUCGGAUUCAUUGGGCGUAAAGGGUGCGUAGGCGGCGCGGUAAGUCGGGUGUGAAAUCUUGGAGCUUAACUCCGAAACUGCAUUCGAUACUGCCGUGCUUGAGGACUGGAGAGGAGACUGGAAUUUACGGUGUAGCGGUGAAAUGCGUAGAUAUCGUAAGGAAGACCAGUGGCGAAGGCGGGUCGUCUGGACAGUUCC
rnacentral:rRNA from 1 species